rnacentral:lncRNA from 1 species
GCUAAUUUUUAACAAUACAGGCAACUUUAGUUAUAACUAAAGCCCAGUUCCCUCCCCUGCAGAGGUAGCCUGCCCUGUCCAGCCUGCCCAGUCCCGCCUGCCCUGUCCCGCCUGCCCUGUCCUGCCUGCCCAUUUGCAAAUAAGAUAAAAUCCCUACGUCUCUUGGGACAAUUAAGAGCUUCCAAGGCCUGCAGCGGGAAGCUGAGAUGCGCUCCUGGCUGUGGGGGCUGCCCAGUUCCAGUCCGGGUCCCACCCUUGUUUGGCACCCUGCCUUGCCUGUUCUGAAAGCUGGAAGCAUCUGGGUGUGGCUGGCCCCAGACACCAUGGGAGACAGGACUGUGCUCCAGGAUGCCAAAGAGGCCAGGCAUGGUGGCUCAUGCCUGUAAUCCCUGCACACUUAUCCACGCACGGUUUCAGUUACCUGAGAUCAGCCUCAGUCCGAAAAUACCAAAUAGAAAUUCUGCUGAUAAACAAUUGGUAAGUUUUAAAUUGUGGCUGUUCUGAGUAGCGUGAAGAGCGUGAUGAAAUGCUGUGCUGUCCUGCUCUGUCCUGCCCGGGAUGUGAAUCAUCACUUUUCCAGCAUGUCCAUCCACAAUGCAGGCACUCCCCAACUGUUAGUCACUUAGAGAUGCCUCAGUUAUCAGAUCAACGUCAGAGAGUCCAGCCCAGCAGUGCUUGUGUGCCAGUACCUCUUCUUUGACUUAAUAAUGCCCCUAAAAGUGCUAGAGUAGUGAUAUUGGCAUAUUGUUAUAACUGUUCUAUUUUGUUAUUGUUGUUGUUAAUCUCUUACUGUGGCUAAUUUAUCAAUUAACCUCCAUCAUAGGUAUGUAUGUAUAGGAAAAAACAAACUUAUAGGAUAGUAGGGUAGUAACCCUACCCUAUAGGAUGGUAGAGUUCCAUACUAUCUGUGGCUUCAAGUAUUCACUAGGAGGCUUCAAACAUAU